UAACUUGUAAAUGACCUUACAAUCUCACUCUUCGCUUACAUCUCUCAAUUACCCAUCCACCUCUGCCCUACACAAUACUCCUAAGAUGUUCGAUAAAACUCCUCAAAGUAGCUUUUGCUAUGGAAAUUCCAUGAUCAGAGCUUGUGCACAGGCUCACAUAUUUGAAGAUGCAUUAUUAAUAAAGAUAAAGAUUGUUGAUGGUGAAAUCAAGCCUGAUAGUUUACUUUUACGUCGCUAAUUAUAUGAAUGUCUAUGAGGAUGUAUUCAGAAUUGUUCAUGGAGGAGCAGCAAUAGUUUCUAGGUUGGAAUGGGACUCUGUGUUUCGUAGUGCCAUCUUUUUGAAAAAUGGGUUUUGUUGGUGAAGCAAUUUAGUAUAGUGGAAUUCUAUGAGGAUGUUGUAUAAAGGGUUGCAAUUUUUUAACGAAGUGAGAUGCAAUGGAAAGCAUAAACCAGUUGGGAAUACUUUUGUUGGGUUAAUCUCAGGGACUAUUGGAUUCUAGCUUGCUGUAAGUUGGCCAAGGAAUUUGUACUUCAAAAGUGGUUUGUUGAUUGUAAUGAUAAUGUAGGCACUGCGUUUUGUGAGUGAGCAUGUAUUCAAGAUUUAGGUGCAUGAAUUCUGCACAUAUGGUGCAUUUAGAAGUUUAGUUUAUCUGAUUUAGUAAUAUGGUCUACUUUGAUAACUGAUUUUAGUCUAGAGAAUACAAGAAGCCAUUGCUUUUCUACAGGAGUCAGAAUUUGGAAGGUAAGUAGCCAGAUUCUGUGUUGAUUUCUAGUGUAUUGGUGGUAGCCACUCAGUUGGAAAAUGUAGGGUCUGCUACUGAGAUGCAUGGUUAUGUACCAUGGACAUGGAUUUGAAUAAAAUAUUAUGGUUUCUCCUGCUCUUAUAGAUAUGUAUUCUUAGCGUGGUUUUGUGGGUUUGGGGCUUCGUGUCUUUAAGAACAUCCCAAACAGAAAUAUAAUUUCCUACAAAUUCAGUAAUCUUAGCUUAGGUCUUGGCUUCCACGUCCUUGCUUCCCAAGCUUUUGAAAUGUUUUAGGAGAUACGAUAAAUCGGGUUUAAACCAUAUCAGGCUACUUUCUCUCUUUCUGCCUGUUGUCAUAUUGGCCUGGUUAAAGAUGGCUGGGAGAUUUUUAGGAGGAUGACAGGAUGAGUUUUGCUCCCACUAUAGAAUUGAGCAUUAUUUUUACAUUGCAAAGCUUCUCCGGAUGGAGGGGGAUGUGGAACAUAUGUUAUUGUCUUUGAAGCAACCAUUGGAUUGUGGCAUGCAGGUAGCAUUGAUGCCAUGGUGUAAAUGGUAAUGGGAAUUCUGAGUUGGGAGAAAUUGUAACCCAGAAGCUUUUCAAUUAUGAGCUGAAUGUGGCGCUUACAAAUUUAUGCUUUCGAACAUUUAUAAUGGGGAUAGGAGGUUGGAUGGUGAGUCAUAUAUAACAAAUGCUGAAGGAAAAUGCCCGGUAUUAGUUGGGUUGGAGCUGAAAAGAUAAAUACGUGUUACUGAGAAUUCCUUUUAAAAUCGGUCCAGAUUCUCACUCCUGAUGCCUUUGUUUAUUUCCACCAUCUAGCAAUCUAUGAUAAAGCUACCAUUGCUGUAGGAUUCAAUCUUCUUCAUGCUCAUCAAGCAAAGGCAGUAAAACCAAUUGCUCUAAUGCGGUGACAAAUUGCAAACCUUCAGGGAGCAUCCUCAUAUGUGAGCAGCUAUGGAAGUGAAGGUACUGUAAUCUUGGUAGUGCUCCCUCCUGAAGCUAGGUCCAUUCCUCAAGAACAUGAAAAGCGAUGAUGAGAACCUCAAGCUUGGGAAAUCCGCCAGCCUUGCAGAAGUCUUUCCCCAACUACCUUCCAUCAUAAGCAUAGGACCUGAAGAACUGAUGUUGGAUUCUCAGAUAAAUGUGAAUAACCUAGCCUUGGCUUUGUAAGACUAUUGAUUGACCAGGCCAGUUUGGUAUUUUCUCUAGAGGUCCUUCUAGCCAAAAUUUUUGAAGAAGAGGCGGUGGUGUCAAUGAAUCCCAGAGGACAAGUUGCCCUUGUUCAAAAUUAUAUUUUGCUUCUAGAGACAAGGAAAGAAGACCCUGCAUCUCCAUUAUGGAAGCUUAUAGUUUCCUUGCAUUCUCUUCAGCAACAUCCAUCACUCCCAGCCUUCUGAGCUGCGUCAGCUUACCUAGUUCUCCUUCAAUGUCACCACCAGCAUGUACACCAGUGAGGAUGAGGAGACUUCCAAAUCUACUUAUUCCCUCUGGUAGCUUCAUCCCACUAAUUUUUUUUGUUCUUUAACAUUUAGAAGUGCCUCAGUCUUACAAGCUUUAGGAUCUCAAUUUAUAUUUCUUUCAAGUCCCCACACCUUCUGAUAUCCAAAGUCUCAUAGUGCUCGCAAAUUACCAAGUUCGCCUGGAAGCUUGUUUAUGUCAUUGUUUUUCAAUCCAAGAAUGUCAGGUGAAUCAAGUCUCCUUCUUCAACUUGUAGUCUCUUGAUCUUGGCAUCUUCUAUAUCUAGCACCUGCAUAAAUUUUGCCCCUUUGAAAUUCAAGCCAUCUUCAGAAAGUUCUUGCUUCCCGAACAAGAAUAUAGACCAGGGUCAGAUAUUGUGUAAGCUCUGUGCAACUUUUGUCAUACCUGGAGUUAAAAUACAGCGUGCUUUAUGUGGGAUGGCAAAAUCGGAAUUGGGGUGAGCUGUUAUGUAGCUAUUGCAAAGGAACACACAUUAAGGAGACGAAACAGUGACUUUAGUUCCAUUCUCUUGGUGUUCAUCAUCUACUUGAACCAUUCCCUGGCUCACCAGUUCAUUAAUAUUUUAUUCUGCAACCUCCUAUAUUUGACCAGCUUUUUCUUGUAUCAGACCUUUGGCUACCCAACAACCGAAUCAAUCUCCCCUUAGCUAUCUAGUAAUUCUCAGGGAAGAUGCAACAAUACAUCAGGCAAGAUCUAAGGUAAUAAGAACUGCUGAGAAAUUAAGCAAUGCAAGUCCUGUUGGCAUUUGUGAUCGUCCAAUACAGUCUUUAUCCAGUAUUGAAAGUUUGCAGUGCACUUUCCUCGGGCCAACGGCACCUGCUCAUCACUCAGAAGCUGCAUGUGUGACCUUGCCUCCCAGCUUUUCUGCUCUCCUAUCAGACUCUUGCACGGAGGCAAAACAAGAACUACCAACAUUACGUAUAAAGCAUGACUUCCAAAUGACAGUACUUUCUCAACUCUGAUCCAUUUCACUGGUAGCUGCUUGUAUUACCAUAUAACUCCUCUUCGAAUAUGAACCUCCAAUACAGCCUUCAUCAAACUAUGGAAGCAUGCAAUACACAUAUCCUAAGGGUUGCAUGACAGGUUCUUCUUUCAAUAGUUAGUGACUUUCUUCUAUUUUCAAAUUGCACUCUUGGAGCUUAAGCAUGCACCACUUAUGAUUUCACUUGUGUGCAAGGAGUCCAUGUCCUAAAAAUUUCAGACCUAUGUGUGGCUCUGAGAAACUUUGGACAAUAAAGAUGUAAGGACAUACAGUUCAUAGCUCAUGAACUUUUUUAUGUCCGACUCAUUGCUGCUGCAUUCGAAAUUUCUUUAAUGUGUUAGUUCUUCCUAACUUUUUUUUAUGAGCUUAUGAUCUUAAAUGCUUCUUGUUUUUCUAUUUAUCUUUGCCAACUGCUGGAGAGAGUCAAUUGCCAAAAUUAAGUUAAUGGCCAGAAGAGCCCUUUUAGUUUUUCUAUAGUCUGCAUGCAGUAAUGAAAAGUACCUGUGUAAAUCAAACUCAAAAGAACUCAGGCAUGCCAAUGAUUGAAGUGCUGUUAUAAAGGUCAUAUUCAGUUCUGAAGUUUCCUAUUCUUAAUGCUGAUUUUAUUUUUAUUUUCAUAUUAUCAACAGAUAAGUUGAGCAAACUUGAGAUGGUCAUGUGGAACUGGGAGGAGACUUAUCAUAGUGAGUGCUACUGGUUUUGCCACAACUAAAAGUUUUGAGGUUAUUUAGCUUGGCAUUUUAUGUGAACAUCAAAAUCAGAUUAACUGUCAGACCUGCCUAGGAUUGUAUACAUGAUUUAAGCUCACUAAAGCAUGUAAACAGUAUACGAAACAGCAAUGGUGCUGAAAAUCUUCACUGCAUACGCUCAAGUAACGUAUACUGCACUCUGUUUGCUAUACAUGGAAUGUUGAAUUUGGCUUCUUGACCUGUUAA